rnacentral:rRNA from 1 species
GACGAACCGAGCGAACGUUAUUCGGAAUAACUGGGCUUAAAGGGUGCGUAGGCGGGCUGUCAAGUCUGGGGUGAAAUCCGGCAGCUUAACUGUCGAACUGCCUUAGAUACUGAUGGCCUCGAGGAAGGUAGGGGCAUGCGGAACUGUAGGUGGAGCGGUGAAAUGCGUAGAUAUCUGGAGGAACACCGGUGGCGAAGGCGGCAUCCUGGACCAAUAUUGACGCUGAGGAGCGAAAGCUAGGGGAGCAACGGG